rnacentral:lncRNA from 8 species
AUGACCUUCUCCUUUGUUAUCAGAUACGAGAAACUGUUCCAUUCUGGAAGCAUCAGACACGAGAAACUGUUCCAUUCUGGAAGCAUCAGACACGAGGAACUGUUCCAUUCUGGAAGCAUCAGACACGAGGAACUGUUCCAUUCUGGAAGCAUCAGACACGAGAAACUGUUCCAUUCUGGAAGCAUCAGACACGAGAAACUGUUCCAUUCUGGAAGCAUCAGACACGAGAAACUGUUCCAUUCUGGAAGCAUCAGACACGAGGAACUGUUCCAUUCUGGAAGCAUCAGACACGAGGAACUGUUCCAUUCUGGAAGCAUCAGACACGAGGAACUGUUCCAUUCUGGAAGCAUCAGACACGAGGAACUGUUCCAUUCUGGAAGCAUCAGACACGAGGAACUGUUCCAUUCUGGAAGCAUCAGACACGAGGAACUGUUCCAUUCUGGAAGCAUCAGACACGAGGAACUGUUCCAUUCUGGAAGCAUCAGACACGAGGAACUGUUCCAUUCUGGAAGCAUCAGACACGAGGAACUGUUCCAUUCUGGAAGCAUCAGACACGAGAAACUGUUCCAUUCUGGAAGCAUCAGACACGAGGAACUGUUCCAUUCUGGAAGCAUCAGACACGAGGAACUGUUCCAUUCUGGAAGCAUCAGACACGAGGAACUGUUCCAUUCUGGAAGCAUCAGACACGAGAAACUGUUCCAUUCUGGAAGCAUCAGACACGAGGAACUGUUCCAUUCUGGAAGCAUCAGACACGAGGAACUGUUCCAUUCUGGAAGCAUCAGACACGAGGAACUGUUCCAUUCUGGAAGCAUCAGACACGAGGAACUGUUCCAUUCUGGAAGCAUCAGACACGAGGAACUGUUCCAUUCUGGAAGCAUCAGACACGAGAAACUGUUCCAUUCUGGAAGCAUCAGACACGAGGAACUGUUCCAUUCUGGAAGCAUCAGACACGAGGAACUGUUCCAUUCUGGAAGCAUCAGACACGAGGAACUGUUCCAUUCUGGAAGCAUCAGACACGAGGAACUGUUCCAUUCUGGAAGCAUCAGACACGAGGAACUGUUCCAUUCUGGAAGCAUCAGACACGAGGAACUGUUCCAUUCUGGAAGCAUCAGACACGAGGAACUGUUCCAUUCUGGAAGCAUCAGACACGAGGAACUGUUCCAUUCUGGAAGCAUCAGACACGAGGAACUGUUCCAUUCUGGAAGCAUCAGACACGAGGAACUGUUCCAUUCUGGAAGCAUCAGACACGAGGAACUGUUCCAUUCUGGAAGCAUCAGACACGAGGAACUGUUCCAUUCUGGAAGCAUCAGACACGAGGAACUGCUCCAUUCUGGAAGCAUCAGCAUGUUCUUAGAACAGUAUGAAAGAACAGGCUGUGCUUCCAUCUAA